UCAGAGGUCAGUGUGUGCCUCAUGCCUCGUGCCUCCUGCAAAGGUUUAGCCUGAAGUGGAAGAGAAGCCUUUGUGUGUUGUGCUGCGAUUAGCCAGAGUUUCUGGACGCGCUCUUAUCUGUAAAAUGCCAUCAGCUGAAGGCUGUUAUUUAGGGAAUCGAUCAGACCAGCAAUUUUAAGCACCUGGGACCACCAGGAAUGUUAUCAUCUUCAUCUACAGCAUGGAAAAUUAAGGAAAAUGAAUGCUCAGAUCACCAUGGAUAUUACAUUCAAAAGAACUGACACCAAAUCAGUCAGUGAUGGUGCCCUCUACAGGCAGGGGCGGGUGCUGUCUGACGCACAAUGAUCACCUCAUCCCAUGGACGGGAUAAAUGAAAUGACAUAAAGGAUGUACGGUAAAUCUAUAUAUUGAUA